AUGGGAGAGAGCUUGAGCGAAGAGGGUGGCGGGACGACGGACAAGAUGGGCAAGCAGGACAACGACGUGUCCCGCGCCGUCGUGGAGGACGACACCGCGCUCCUCCUCGCGGCGGUGGACAGCAUCAAGAAGGCGGCGCUGGGCCGGCUGCGCAACGGCUCCGACGCCGCCAGGAUCCUCGACCAGGACAUGUCCAACAGGCUCCUCCACCUCGCCUGCAGGCACGACGCCGCCGAGUGCGCCAGGCUCCUCCUCGACGGGGAGUACGGGAUCACGCCGGCCUCCGUCGAAGCCAGGGACCAGCUCACGCGGACGCCGCUGCACGUCGCCGCCGAGGCGCACUCCAAGAGGUGCAUCCAGCUGCUCCUCUCAGUCUCCAGGAACGCCCGGACGGACGUCAGGCUGCUCGACGGCACACACCUAGUCGCGCUCGAGGUCGCGCUCAUGAGCAGAAGGGUUCAAGUUGAUUGGUCCCCGGACAACUCAGUCGAGGAUCUUCUGGCUUAUCUGCAACAAAAGGAUCUGAACGCGGUGAGGCUUCUGGCAGAGAAGACCAGGGAGGUUGGGGAGGUGGCUUACAGAUACGCCAUGGAGGGGCGUGUCGCCGCACUCGCAAUGCUGCUCCUGGUGGCUGAGGAAAGGAUAUCGGCGAUGGUGAGCGUGGUGAUUGACGGCGUCAGGACAAAGAGAUCAAUUUACAACUCUGUUGUGGAUGAGGUUCUGUCGAUUGGAGAGGCUUCAACUAGAGACGGCAAUGAAAUGAGGAGGAAAGCCUUGCUCUGUGAGAUUCAGCUGCUCAACCAAUUUGGGGCCACGUCGUGGAGGGACCGAAAAGUUGACAGGAGAAGCUUGCCCCCUCUACUUAGGGCUGCAAAGGCCGGAGAUAUGAAUGUCACAAAGAUGCUUCUGAUGGGGGAUGUUGAUGUCAAUGAAACCGACCCCGAAGGAAACACGGCACUUCACUGGUGCCUCAGUAGUAGCUCAAGCACACAGGAGCCAAGGAUUAUGUGGCUCCUGCAGAAGAAUGGUGCCAGAGUUUUCCAGGGGAACAAACUAGGUCUCACACCAGUGCACAGCGCUGCAGCUAAGGGCAAUUACAAGGCUCUUCAGUCACUUCUGCUUCAUGCACAAGAUUGCGUUGAUAUACCUUCCAAGACCAAAGAAACCCCAUUAUUCCUUGCAGUGAAAAAUGGUUCUUUGAGCUGUGUACGACUUCUUUUGCGUUAUGGGGCUAACCCCAAAGCCCAGAACCUACGAAAGCAAAGACCAAUAGACGUGGCGACAUCCCAGGACAUGCGGUUCCUUCUCAACUCUGCAAAUGUUGUACCAAUGAACCAUGGCUCAAUGGAAAAGAACCAUGCGAUGAAAAAAGAUAGGCACAAAGAGCUUCUGGAUGAUGAUUUCGAUGAUUAUGACAAUGACGAUUAUUAUGAAAGCUAUGUUGUGCCAAAGGCGUCAGUAGGUCACCGGGAUUUUCGGGUUAAAAGUAAGGGCCAUAGUGCCCCGAAAGAAGGUCCCAAAUUAUCUCGGCAUAAUGAUCAUUGGGAGAAGCAUGACUACACUCGCAAAAUCUUUGUUGGGGGUCUCCCGCUUUCAGUAGACGAUGCGUACCUUAGCAAAUUCUUCAGUACUGAAUUCGGACCUGUGGAGGAAGCAAUAGUCAUUACCUUAAAAAUAGACGAGAGGAUACAGUCCCGAGGCUUUGGCUUUGUCAAAUUCAAAAGAGAGAAGGACAUGAUUAGUGCAAAGGAAGCUCAUCAUGUCUAUGUGCUUGGGAAGAGAGUGGAGAUAAAGGAUGCUGUUGCUAGACCGUCCCUGCCUGAACUCGAAAGAGCAACUUCCUUCAGGCACCAUGUACGUGAGUCCCCAAGAGUGACUCAUAGUGAGCUGGAGGAUGAACAACCUGAGCAAUAUAACUUUGGGAAACGGCGGCCAAUGCCAGAGAAGCACCUCCCAUCUUGGUUCUUCAUAUUCAGGAGGUGGUUGCCAGGAUUUCUCAUGGAAGCAACCGAACGAUAUGGGGAGAAGUACCCAUUAUGCUCUGUGAAGACUGAUUUCAGAUCAUGUUGCAGAAUGGAGCUUGAUCAUUCUGCCCUUGGCUAUCCUAAGCUAAGUGAUUUCAUGCGCUCCCUCCCUGGCAUCUGCAGGAUGCGUGUAGUCCCUGUAGGAAAUGGCCCUGCAACACAUAUGGUCCUUCUGCCACCGCUCUCAAGGCCAAAGUAUGUACCCUUGCUAGAGCCUUACUCAUUUGAUCAUGAAGAGCUCCCAGAAUCAGUGUCAGAUCAUCAUUCUCCAAGAUCACCACUUACCGCCAAUAUCACUGAGAAUGCUCCUUAUAGCACUAACAGUCCACAUGGUGAUGCAUGCAGCGAGAGCAAUGUCCAGAGCCAGCAUGAUGAUGAGUGCAGCAGAAGCAAUGGCGAAAGCCUGCCGGAUGGUGAUUCCACCUCCAAUGGUAGCUUACUUGAUGAGAUUACUGUGAGCACACCAAAGUCUGAUUUGAUCCAGUCACCUGCAAGAAAGCCUGAUUUGAUUGUGUCUGGAUCUCCUCCAGAAAAAAUCGAACAAGGACCGUUAAUGAAGCCUGAUUUGGUUGAGUCUGCACCUACAAAGAAACUCGAUUUGAUCGAGUCCAGUCCUCCUCCUCCUCCUCCUCCUAGCAAGGCUGAUUUGGUUCAGCCUGCUGGGCCUGCACGGAAGAUUCAACUGGUCGAGUCCAGACCUUCUAGGAAUUCUGAACUGAUUGAGCCUGAACCUGCAAGGAAGCUUGAAUUGAAUCAAGCCAGACCAACAACAUGCUUUGUUGAUCGUCCUGUUGAAAGGCCAGCAGUCACUCCAAGCAGCUGCCACAAUGAAAUGAGAUUCUCCUUCUUCCACUCACAGUGGGACAAGUACCUAACUCCACAUGCCAAGAGUGACUACUGCAUCAUAUGCCGCUCCUGUGAAGCCGCGAUGGAGCUUGUCCCCUGCCUCCAUAAGAUAUGUGUUGCCUGCAUGAUGAGGUGCAAUGUCAGGGCAUGCAUGACCUGUGGCACUGCUGUAAGUGGAGUCAAGUCUGCCCCGGCACUGGACGCAAAAUCCCGACACGUGGGAGUCAUGGAGUGCGUCUCAGAUCAAAAGUGCCAGUUGAUGGUUGUCUGCAGUGGAGCUGAUGCAGUUGUGAGAUGCUCCCCCUGCAUGCACACCAUAGCUUGCCGAGGCUGCCUCCUGGCCUCGGUGACACUGCUCAAGAAGUGCACUGUUUGUGACUGCAUGAUUGAGCACUUCAAGUUUGGUCCAUAA
rnacentral:rRNA from 1 species